AUGGACCCAGCCGGUGACGGCACGUGCUUUCCCUACGAUGUGCUCCUCGACAUCCUCCGCCGCAUCCCCGGGCGCGACAUUUGCGCUUCCCAGUGCGUGUGCCGCGUGUGGCGCGACAUCGUCAACGACGAUCAUUGGCUCUCCCUUGAGCGCUACUUCCCUCGGCGCGCCUUUCCCGGACUCUUCGUCAACAAGACCGGGUGCCGCUCCGAUACGUCCUUCUUCGCACCGCCAGCCACCCGCGGCGCGUCUGGCUUCCGGAGGCCAGUCUACCCGCACCAGGCAAGAGUACUCCAGUCCUACAAUGGCCUCCUCCUCCUCGAGGAGUGGGACUAUUACGUGCUCAACCCGGCGACGGCGCGGUAUGCCCGUUUGCCGCGGCCGUUGAAACCGUGGUGCAACUAUGGCGUAUCCUUGGCUUUCGACCCUGCCGUGUCGCUGCACUACCAUGUUUUCCUCUUUCCGAAAGGUGGUCUGCUCAAGGAGCCAUUAAUGGCCGCUAGCACGCAAUGCCAGGUUCCGCCAUUCGGGGAAGCACAAGCGGAGGAGUUCGAGGAGCCCAAGAAAAAUGUGUUGUCAAUGUUAAUGUACUCACCAUGCACAGGGCGGUGGGAGGACCGAGAGUUCAUGCCUGGACUUUGUGCGCCGGGGCACCUCUACGACAUGGUUGGUAGAACACCCGAGAGGUACGAGGGUCCAUUUCAUUCAUCUAAUUACUGGCGUGGGUCUGUCUACAUGCAUUGCCACAACAGCGUCCUCGUGAUUCUACGCCCCUUGAAGGGAACUUAUGAUAUGCUCCAGCUUCCCGGAGAACCCUGCGGUUGGGCACUGGCACAUGACGUCGACCUCAACCUGCAUGGCCAUGUGAUUCGUACUCUUAAAAUACAACCCAAAAUGAUAUGGAAGAUUGUUGGAAGCAAUGGUGGACCAGUCAGCUUGUCCGACGAUGACGCAGAGGAUGAUUGGGCCACACCACAUGACUCUGAAUAUUCAUGGGACUCUAAUGAGGACAACUUCAUCGACAUGGUUGGAGGCGCCGGCCACCAUGAGUCGGUAGAACAGGGUGCCUACUGCAGUAUCAUGGGAUUCCAUCCACACAAGAAUGCACUCAUCCUCGAUCUUAGCGGCGCGGUGGUAGUGUACCAUCUUGACAUGUCGAGGAUGCAGUAUCUAGGAGACGCAGACGAGCUCGAUAAAGACAAUUCGCAACCAGCUUGCUGUGUCGAGGAUUCGUUCAUUUACCGACCUUGCUAUAAGGACAUGCUGCCAACAGGGAAAUUAUCCAUGCCACCUGAAGAUGAUAUACGAUCUAGUUAUACAUAG
rnacentral:rRNA from 1 species